rnacentral:rRNA from 1 species
GAUGAACGCUGGCGGCGUGCCUAAUACAUGCAAGUCGAGCGAACAGACGAGGAGCUUGCUCCUCUGACGUUAGCGGCGGACGGGUGAGUAACACGUGGAUAACCUACCUAUAAGACUGGGAUAACUUCGGGAAACCGGAGCUAAUACCGGAUAAUAUAUUGAACCGCAUGGUUCAAUAGUGAAAGACGGUUUUGCUGUCACUUAUAGAUGGAUCCGCGCCGCAUUAGCUAGUUGGUAAGGUAACGGCUUACCAAGGCAACGAUGCGUAGCCGACCUGAGAGGGUGAUCGGCCACACUGGGACUGAGACGCGGUCCAGACUCCUACGGGAGGCCGAAGUAGGGACUCUUCCGCAAUGGGCGAAAGCCUGCCGGAGCAACGCCGCGUGGGUGAUGAAGGUCUUCGGAUCGUAAAACUCUGUUCUUAGGGAAGACCAAUUGUGUAAGUAACUAUGCACGUCUUGACGGUACCUAAUCAGAAAGCCACGGCUAACUACGUG